GACGAACGCUGGCGGCGUGCUUAACACAUGCAAGUCGAGCGGUAAGGCCCUUCGGGGUACACGAGCGGCGAACGGGUGAGUAACACGUGGGUGACCUGCCUCUAGCUCUGGGAUAAGCCUGGGAAACUGGGUCUAAUACCGGAUAUGACUCCACGGCGCAUGUUGUGGGGUGGAAAGCCUUGUGUGGCUAGAGAUGGGCCCGCGGCCUAUCAGCUUGUUGGUGGGGUGANGGCCUACCAAGGCGACGACGGGUAGCCGGCCUGAGAGGGCGACCGGCCACACUGGGACUGAGACACGGCCCAGACUCCUACGGGAGGCAGCAGUGGGGAAUCUUGCGCAAUGGGCGAAAGCCUGACGCAGCGACGCCGCGUGA
rnacentral:rRNA from 1 species